GCCUCAGAUGGCACCUCUCCACACAGAAGAUACUAUGGAGCUGUAUCUUCAAUGAUGAUGAUGUCAUAUAGGGGAAGUACCUUGGACAGAGACUGUGGAGCAUGGAUGGACAUUCUAUAAUUGGUUUUAGUCAGUGCUGUUGGGGAAUCUCAGUGUCCUGAGAAGGGAGUGGAGCUUGUGACCUUUGAGUUAUAAAGGUCUAGAGUAUUCCUUGGAAUCCUGUAAUUCCACAAAGCAUAACAUCAAUGCCCAGAGGAACUCCUGAAGGGGUAAUCUUCAGGGUCCCAGCCCAGCAGUAACUUACUCCAGCAUCUUUCCUACUUAUACUGCAACUGGACAUGAAGUUGGUGGGAUCAUUGUUGUGCAAGAACUGAGACAAGUUUUGAGCCCCUGCUUUCCUCCACCUUCUCACCAAGUUAGUGGAGAGGUGAUCAUGAACCAAGAGGCACUGAGGGAAAUAUUGAAUUCCAAGGAAAGUUCUGUUUCAGGAGGGACACAGAAUACAAGGAAUCAGUGAAUAAACAUCUAAGCAAACUUCUUCACCCUGGGCUUUCCAAGCACAGAAAUAAACAUUGAGCUCAAGUACUCUGCA
rnacentral:lncRNA from 1 species